UACGAGUGCUCCAAGCGUUAUCCGGAAUUAUUGGGCGUAAAGGGUGUGUAGGUUGACCUGUUAGUCAGAUGUUAAAACUUCCCGCUUAACGGGAAAAGGGCAUUUGAAACGGCAGGACUAGAGGAUGCGAGAGGUGAACAGAACUCAUGGCGGUAGGGGUGAAAUCCGUUGAUAUCAUGGGGAAUACCAAAUGCGAAGGCAGUUCACUGGCGCACUCCUGACACUGAAACACGAAAAGCGUGGGUAGCGAACUGG
rnacentral:rRNA from 1 species